UCCAACAUCACAUAUGCAGAUAGAAAAUGAAGACAAAGAUAUUAAAGCCCAAGGGCCCCACAAGUCAGUGGGAAAAAACUAGGAUUAUUUACUAAAUGCACCAACAUCAUCAGUCCUUUACAAACAGGUGAUAACUGAAGGCCUUAAGAAAGACUAUCAUCUAUAAAUUCCCAUUUCUACUGAGUGGCAUCAGCAAUCAUAUACAACUGGAACAGCUUCCCACCUUUGAGACGGUCUCACAGCCUCCCAGGGGCCUGCUCCUCUGAACAAGUUAGAAUCUAAGUCAUCAAGGACCGACUCUACUAAGGAACAUCUUUCAAUACAGAGGAAUUGUUCUUGGUACAGACUUAGAGCACUUCCAGUCUGGCUAGAACGGCAUUCACAUAGUCUCCUUAUCUUCAUCUUUUCAACCCAAACAAUUAGCUUUAUUAUAUUGGUAUUGACUAAAGCCAUGACAAGCAUAAGCAUUGUUCACAGAUUUCACAGUGCCCACUCUAAAUGUUACAAAUGUAUCUGAAUGCUUACUUCUGAAGUGUCCAGCAAGAUUACUCAGACAACUAUGUACUUCUAGUCAAAGUCAACAAGUAUGCAGCUUACCGGGUGUAUUUAGAAUAAAAGAUAUUCAAAGUUAUAGUUAAACUGUUGCCAACUCUCACGAUUUUAUUGCAAGUCUUGUGCUGUUUGGUGUUUUUCUUAAAGCCUACACUUCUGGAGUUGUGCAAU